rnacentral:snRNA from 1 species
GUGCUUGCUUCAGCAGCACAUACACUAAAAUUGGAAUCAUACAGAGAAGAUUAACAUGGCCCCUGCAUAAGGAUGACAAACAAAUUCAUGAACUGUUCCAUAUUUUU